rnacentral:lncRNA from 1 species
GAGAACGCUGCUGCCUGAACUGAGAGCAGAGAGACAGAAGAGGUCUAAAGACAGAACUGUGAACUGCUUAUCCGACCAACGGUGCCUGGAGAAGGAGGGUAAGGAGAGAUACGACUGUGAGCUUUGCUUUGAGAUUGGCCCAUAGACACCCAGCUCAGCUGAACACAGAGAAAGAUAAAGCUUGGAGAUUCGGGGGUUAACUGAACUGACUGACCCCCGCCCAGCUGGGGGGCUGUGUGAACUAGCUGGGGACAACAUUCCUGCUUAGUUGAAGAGGAAGUGCUGUAGCUGGAAAGACUCUUCAUUUUAAUAAACUCUUUCGAGGAGACCAGCUUUUAUAUUCUCAGAGACUCCUGGUGAAGGCACCCUGAGUCUUUUACAGGAAUUUUUUAAUCUACACAAUAACUCCACAACAGUGUAUCGGAUAGGACCUUCUGGAGGUUUGGAAAACCGGCUUCAGCAAGAUAUCGUUCUGUGCCCUGCCUUAUGUGGUAGGCCUUUGAAAGACUACCUAGAAGGAAUCAGCGAACCAGCCCACAGAAAGUUUCCCUUCUGGGGCUCUUGGAUAUCCUUCGUUCAGUAUGGGGCGGUGGAAGAUGGCCUCUAAAGACUAAGCUAAGACCCGAAAUACAAGGUUAUCAUAGCUGUACAUGCGCUAUAGCCAAACUCCACUAUUAUCCUUUUCCAGCUGCACACAAAUUGCCUAAAUAAGGCAAUUUUAAUUUUAAUGUAGUUUUUAGCCGUUUUAUUACUGCUGUCUCUUUGGCAGCAUUGUUUUAUUAUUAUAUUCUGACUAGGUUGCAGCAUUUGUGAAACAGCGCUGGUCGCAUGAUUGAGGUGAAAACUACAGGCUUAGGACAAUUGCCAAGAUCUAAAAGCAGAGAACUCAAAAUAGAGAAAUAUAUUGAGGCUGUUGAUGAGCACAUCAGGAAGCUGUUGCAGAGAGCAGGUGGGAAUAUAGAUUGAUACCCCCACUUGCCCCCCAAUCUAAGGCAGUCGCACCUGGGGUAAACUGCCCUCUCUCUAUAUCGAGACCACUUUUACCAUGGUUUUUACUAGGAGAAAAUACAAGGAGUUGGGUAUACUGCCUGACUCGGCAAUCAGCCCCUCGGGCCCUGGUAAAAGACAAAGCAAAAUCACAAAUUACUUUCCUAAGAUGGAGGAGGGUAAGAGUCCACAAAAAGAGUUAAUUCUUGAUGAAGUAAUACCCCCCUCUCUUACUGUUCUUGAUUGGACAUCUAAUUUUAAAGAGAUAUACCAAGAUACUGGAAAUAUUAACUCCCCAUGCAGCCUAGCGCAAGAACUAGCUUUAGCCGAGGAACUUCAGGAGGGAAAUACCUCUAUUACUAAGGAACAGCUGCCCACGGAAGAAAUUACAUCAACCCAUCAAAACCAGAUACUUACUCCAAAAUACUCUCAAACAGAAUUGAGUGACGGUCGCCCUUUGGAUUAUUCCCUAGCAAUAAGUUCUGAUUUAGCCAACAUAAAAAUUUAUCUAACAAUAACAAAUGGGCUACUGCUGACGUUAGUAGAAAAUUUCACAUCUCAAUUAAAAGAGUUAAAAUUAAAUGAUAUGCCACAAGAACAUAAAACAGUUGAGCUAGCGUCGAUGAACAAACCAGUAAUAAAUAAGAAUCUGCAAAGACAUAACUCAAGGGU